rnacentral:rRNA from 1 species
UACAGAGGGGCAAGCGUUGUUCGGAAUUACUGGGCGUAAAGGGCGCGUAGGCGGCCAACUAAGUCGGACGUGAAAUCCCCAGGCUCAACCUGGGAACUGCGUCCGAUACUGGAUGGCUCGAAUCCGGGAGAGGGAUGUGGAAUUCCAGGUGUAGCGGUGAAAUGCGUAGAUAUCUGGAGGAACACCGGUGGCGAAGGCGGCAUCCUGGACCGGUAUUGACGCUGAGGCGCGAAAGCCAGGGGAGCAAACGGG